CUCACACCCAUCAACGCCCGGGUACUACGAGCCCUAGCUUAAAACCCAAAGGACUUGACGGUGUCCCAUCCACCUAGAGGAGCCUGUUCUAUAAUCGAUAAUCCCCGCUAAACCCAACCUCCUCUUGCAAUCAGCCUGUAUACCUCCGUCGUAAGCUUACCAUAUGAAUGACCCCAGUAAGCUAAAUGAUUAUAACACCCCAAUACGUCAGGUCAAGGUGCAGCUCAUGAGAAGGCAAGCAAUGGGCUACAAUUUCUAAUCUAGAACAAACGAAACACUGCAUGAAACUCAGCUGUGAAGGCGGAUUUAGUAGUAAAAAGAAAAUAGCGUGUUCUUUUUAACUAGGCCCUGGGACGUGUACACACCGCCCGUC
rnacentral:rRNA from 1 species